rnacentral:rRNA from 1 species
AGUAAAUAGAUACCCUGGUAGUCCAUGCCGUAAACGAUGAUUGCUAGGUGUGGGGGGUCUGACUCCUUCCGUGCCGGAGUUAAACACAGUAAGCAAUCCACCUGGGGAGUACGGCCGCAAGGUUGAAACUCAAAGGAAUUGACGGGGGCCCGCACAAGCAGUGGAGUAUGUGGUUUAAAUUCGAAGCAACGCGAAGAACCUUACCAGGUCUUGACAUCCACCGAAUCCUGUAGAGAUACGGGAGUGCCCUUCGGGGAACGGUGAGACAGGUGGUGCAUGGUUGUCGUCAGCUCGUGUCGUGAGAUGUUGGGUUAAGUCCCGCAACGAGCGCAACCCUUGUGAAUAGUUGCUACGAAAGAGCACUCUAUUCAGACCGCCGUUGACAAACGGAGGAAGGUGGGGAUGACGUCAAAUCAUCAUGCCCCUUAUGACCUGGGCUACACACGUACUACAAUGGCCGUUAACAGAGGGAUGCAAUACCGCGA